AACGAACGCUGGCGGCAUGCCUAACACAUGCCAGUCGAACGAUCCCUUCGGGGAUAGUGGCGCACGGGUGCGUAACGCGUGGGAACCUUCCCUUAGGUUCGGAAUAACUCAGAGAAAUUUGAGCUAAUACCGGAUAAUGUCUUCGGACCAAAGAUUUAUCGCCUUUGGAUGGGCCCGCGUUGGAUUAGCUAGUUGGUGGGGUAAAGGCCUACCAAGGCGACGAUCCAUAGCUGGUCUGAGAGGAUGAUCAGCCACACUGGGACUGAGACACGGCCCAGACUCCUACGGGAGGCAGCAGUGGGGAAUAUUGGACAAUGGGCGAAAGCCUGAUCCAGCAAUGCCGCGUGAGUGAUGAAGGCCUUAGGGUUGUAAAGCUCUUUUACCCGGGAUGAUAAUGACAGUACCGGGAGAAUAAGCCCCGGCUAACUCCGUG
rnacentral:rRNA from 1 species